UGGUGCUUCUCCUCCUUCUUGUAAUCGACCUCAGGCUCCGUGAUGGUGGUCACUUCGGUGGUCUCAGCAUAAGCACCAUCAGGGCCACUGCCGUAGGCAGCGCCACUGCCGUAAGCGCUAUCAGGGCCACUGCCGGGGCCACUGCCAUAGGUGGUUUCACUGCCAGGGCCACUGCCGUAGGUGGUUUUACUGCCAGGGCCACUGCCGUAGGUGGUCUCACUGCCGUAGGCGGUCUCGGAGUAGUUGACAGCCUCAACGGGUUGCUCAUCCUCCUUCUUGUGGUGGAAGAGGUGGUGGCGGUGUCCUUCGGCCAUGGUUGGCGGUUGUUCUUUGUGGGAUGCUAGAAUUGACGAUGGAUUAGGGAAAGGACUCUUGAUAGCUGAAGU
rnacentral:lncRNA from 1 species